GAUGAACGCUGGCGGCGUGCCUAACACAUGCAAGUCGAGCGGCAGCGAGGGGUGCUUGCACCCUGUCGGCGAGCGGCGGACGGCUGAGUAACGCGUGGGAACGUGCCCCAAAGUGAGGAAUAACUGCCCGAAAGGGUAGCUAAUACCGCAUAUUAUCUUCGGAUCAAAGGAUUUAUCCGCUUUGGGAGCGGCUCGCGUCGGAUUAGGUAGUUGGUGAGGUAAUGGCUCACCAAGCCGACGACCCGUAGCUGGUCUGAGAGGAUGACCAGCCAGACUGGAACUGAGACACGGUCCAGACUCCUACGGGAGGCAGCAGUGAGGAAUCUUCCACAAUGGGCGAAAGCCUGAUGGAGCAACGCCGCGUGCAGGACGAAGGCCUUCGGGUUGUAAACUGCUUUUAUAAGUGAGGAAUAUGACGGUAACUUAUGAAUAAGGAUCGGCUAACUACGUG
rnacentral:rRNA from 1 species